UACGUAGGUGGCAAGCGUUAUCCGGAAUUAUUGGGCGUAAAGCGCGCGUAGGCGGUUCUUUAAGUCUGAUGUGAAAGCCCGCGGCUCAACCGUGGAGGGUCAUUGGAAACUGGAAAACUUGAGUGCAGAAGAGGAAAGUGGAAUUCCAUGUGUAGCGGUGAAAUGCGCAGAGAUAUGGAGGAACACCAGUGGCGAAGGCGACUUUCUGGUCUGUAACUGACGCUGAUGUGCGAAAGC
rnacentral:rRNA from 1 species